rnacentral:rRNA from 1 species
AGAAUCAACGCUGGCGGCGUGCCUCAGACAUGCAAGUCGAACGAGAACCUUCCUUCGGGAAGGGGACAGUGGCGCACGGGUGAGUAACACGUGGGUAAUUUACCUUUGGGUGGGGAACAACAGCCGGAAACGGCUGCUAAUACCGCAUAAUGCAGCGGCUCGACAUCGAGACAGUUGUUAAAGCGGGGGAUCGCAAGACCUCGCGCCUAAAGAGAAGCCCGCGGCGGAUUAGCUAGUUGGUAGGGUAAUGGCCUACCAAGGCAAACGAUCU